rnacentral:rRNA from 1 species
GACGAACGCUGGCGGCGUGCUUAACACAUGCAAGUCGAACGGUGAUGCUCCAGCUUGCUGGAGUGGAUCAGUGGCGAACGGGUGAGUAACACGUGAGCAACCUGCCCCAGACUCUGGAAUAAGCGCUGGAAACGGCGUCUAAUACUGGAUACGAAACUGGCCCGCAUGGGCAUGGUUUGGUAAGUUUUUCGGUUUGGGAUGGGCGCGCGGCCUAGCAGCUUGUUAGUGAGGGAAUGGCUCGCCUAGGCGACGACGGGUAGACGGCCUGAGAGGGCGUCCGGCCACACUCGGGCUGUGACACGGCCCCGACUCCUACGGGGGGCAGCAGUGUGGAAUAUUGCACGAUGGGCGCAAGCCUGAUGCAGCGACGCCGCGUGUGGGAUGACGGCCUUCUGGUUGUAAACCUCUUUCAGCAGGGAAGAAGCGAAAGUGACGGUACCUGCAGAAGAAGCACCGGCUAACUACGUG